CAGCAGCCACGGGAAUACGUAGGGUGCGAGCGUUAAUCGGAAUUACUGGGCGUAAAGCGUGCGCAGGCGGUUUUGUAAGACAGGCGUGAAAUCCCCGGGCUCAACCUGGGAAUGGCGCUUGUGACUGCAAAGCUAGAGUGCGGCAGAGGGGGAUGGAAUUCCGCGUGUAGCAGUGAAAUGCGUAGAUAUGCGGAGGAACACCGAUGGCGAAGGCAAUCCCCUGGGCCUGCACUGACGCUCAUGCACGAAAGCGUGGGGAGCAAACAGGAUUAGAUACCCGGGUAGUCCCUGUCUCUUAUAC
rnacentral:rRNA from 1 species